GUAGGUUUUCUGUGGUGUGGCUAGCCACCAUAGUGUGGUGACUCGCCCCGUUACGUCGUGUAGAAGUUUCAAGAUUUACUUCAAGCAGAAAGCCACAAGCUGCAAAGGUCUCAAGUAGAAACCAAGGACCCCCAAGCUCUGUGGGGAGAUGAAAACCUGUGCCAGGAGUGCGUUACCGGGGUACUUUGUGCUGUUUCAUCAAGGAGAAUGAAGUGGACCAUCCCCAGAGGGACUUCACACUUUGCAGUGUGAAAGUGUGUAUGGUUAAGCAUGGCCCUGUUAUAAGUGCUGAAAUACUGGGUGAGAUUCAACCGGGGUUGCUAGAAUUAUUAGGGUUGGUAAGCGGACAGGUUUGCCUAGCUUGGUAGUGUCGACUUUUUCACUGGUGGUGUUAGUGGCCCCAAAUGGUGCUUCUGUUCAAAAGUUACAAAAUGGUUGUGGCUGCCAUGACAAUUACUGCAGCUUUGUCACCUCGGUAAAUGUGGAGAUGUGUCGAGGAAUGUUGCUUUCUUCUAGAGCUGCCAGAAGUUUGCAGCAUACAUUCUCAAGUAUGAACGAAACUCAAGUAAAGGAACUGAUCGGAGAUGAAAUGCUGUAGUUUUACUUCCUGGAAGCCUUACAUGACUUGUGCUUGUAAUUAUGAGUAUCUUGGUUAGGCCAGCAUGACCAUUUUAGAGAAGUAUAGUGAAUAAUUGGGUGCCCGUUGCACCAUGGAUGCUACAUAACGAAUUGAUCAUGUCUAGUGAACCAGCUUCAGUGGCACACUGACUCACUCACAAGAUAGCGAAAAACUCUUUUAAGGGGAGAUGCUACUCGAAGACACUUUUUCUUUAAUAUUCACCCUAGAGCAUUGAAACUUGAAUUGUGUAUGAAACUUUUUAUGCUGAUUUCAAAUAUAUAAUUAGCUUCCUCGCAAGUUACACACUUUUAGCUCUGCAACAUGACAAAUUAAAAACGUUAACCCUUUUG